GACGUGACCAAGGGUGGUCUUCCAAAUCAGUCGGAAUCCCCACACAUCUAUUGUAUAAUGUUUCCUACCAGCCAUCAACAGGGCUGCUUAAGUAGCUAAAAGGAAAUUUUACCCGAGUUGAGCGUUCUUUUGUCGCUCGCUUACAAAAAAAUGCAGCUAUUGUUGCAGAACAAACACCACACAACAAACGGCAUAUCCAGGGCUUUCCCACAGCUUGCCGUCACCAGCUUUUAUAUCACGUGUGAAUGCAACUGCGGCUAAAUUUAGUUAGUAUCAGUGCAAUAGUGCCAUGUCAUUGGCAAAAUCACUAAAGGCAACUGGCACAAAUAAACCGCCCAGAGAUAUAGCCAAAGAAAUAAAUAAACAUGAUGUUCAAUCGCUGAGGGUGCAAGUGCGCGCUUCAUGAAUGUGUUUCUCAAAAGGGAUUAUGCUGUUCGUAUGAUUUCCAACCUUUACGGUCUGGCGUUAAACUGUGAACUUGCCGCAAGCAACGUAUCUCAUAUAGAUGCACAUUGGUCAUUUAUGUUCGACUAUUAUUGGAAAGUCCAUUUGUCGUUUGUUAGGAUUUCUGGGGCACGAUAAUCGCACGAGCUAACCAAGGCUAUCACAGAAUCCAUCAUAGUCCGAUUUUUCGUGAAAUCUACGAAAAUGCUAUGCUUUUACGCGCAUAGGCUAAAUUUCUCGCACCUAGCAUAAGUGCUUGACAAAGGCAGAAGGCAUACCUUCACCAUUAUAACUUAAAGUAAAAAAGUUUAAGGCAUGCAAUAAAAGAAUACAACAAAACCAAAAAAUGU